CUCGGCAUACUGCGUAACACGUGGACAACUACCCUGAGGAGGGGGAUAACCCCGCGAAACUGGUGAUAAUACCCCAUAGACUAUGGAUGCAGGAAUGCUCUGUAGUUAAAGGCCCGCCGCCUCAUGAUGGGUCUGCGGCCGAUUAGGUUGUUGUUGGGGUAACGGCCCAACAAGCCUGUAAUCGGUACGGGUUGUGGGAGCAAGAGCCCGGAGAUGGAUUCUGAGACACGAAUCCAGGCCCUACGGGGCGCAGCAGGCGCGAAAACUUUACAAUGCGAGCAAUCGUGAUAAGGGAACUCCGAGUGCCCGUAAAAUCGGUCUGUCCGCCAGUGUAAAUAACUGGUGAAGAAAGGGCCGGGCAAGACCGGUGCCAGCCGCCGCGGUAAUACCGGCGGCUCGAGUGGUGGCCACUAUUACUGGGCUUAAAGCGUUCGUAGCUGGUCUGUUAAGUCUCUGGGGAAAUCUUCCGGCUUAACCGGAAGGCUCUCAGGGAUACUGACAGACUAGGGACCGGAAGAGGUGAGAGGUACUCCAGGGGUAGGAGUGAAAUCCUGUAAUCCUUGGGGGACCACCUGUGGCGAAGGCGUCUCACCAGGACGGCUCCGACAGUGAGGAACGAAAGCUGGGGGAGCAAACCGGAUUAGAUACCCGGGUAGUCCCAGCUGUAAACGAUGCGCGUUAGGUGUAUCGGUGACAACGAGUCACCGAGGUGCCGAAGAGAAUCGUGAACGCGCCGCCUGGGAAUAGCUCGCGAGG
rnacentral:rRNA from 1 species